rnacentral:rRNA from 1 species
AAACUGGAGGGAGGUGGGGAUGACGUCAGGUCAUCAUGGCCCUUACGGCCAGGGCUACACACGUGCUACAAUGGCGCGCACAGAGGGCUGCAAACUCGCGAGGGUAAGCCAAUCUCUUAAAACGCGUCGUAGUCCGGAUCGCAGUCUGCAACUCGACUGCGUGAAGUCGGAAUCGCUAGUAAUCGCGAAUCAGAAUGUCGCGGUGAAUACGUUCCCGGGCCUUGUACACACCGCCCGUCACACCAUGGGAGUGGAUUGCACCAGAAGUGGUUAGUCUAACCUUCGGGAGGACGAUCACCACGGUGUGGUUCAUGACUGGGGUGAAGUCGUA